rnacentral:rRNA from 1 species
UCCGUAGGUGAACCUGCGGAAGGAUCAUUAGUGAAUUUAGCGCAUCUGCUUUGCAGAGCGUGACCUCCACUUUCUAACUCUGUGCACUUAAUGGCGGAAGAGAUGAAAUAUGCUCUUCUGCGGCUCAUUUUAUAACACUAGUUAAAGAAUGUAACGAAAUAUCGAAACAAAAAAAAACUUUCAACAACGGAUCUCUUGGCUCUCGCAUCGAUGAAGAACGCAGCGAAAUGUGAUAAGUAAUGUGAAUUGCAGAAUUCAGUGAAUCAUCGAAUCUUUGAACGCACCUUGCGCUCCCUGGUAUUCCGGGGAGCAUGUCUGUUUGAGUGUCAUGAACUCUUCAACCCACCGGUUUCUUGUAAACUGGCUGGUGUUUGGUUUCUGAGUGUUGCUCGUCCUUGUGACUGAGCUCAUUCGUAAUAUAUGAGCAUCUCUAAUUCGAAUUCGGAUUGACUCAGUGUAAUAGACUAUUCGCUGAGGACACACCUAGUGUGGCCGAAUAAGAUAAUUGUAGAAGCUUCUAACCCUUCUAGUCAUUUUAAGAUUAGACCUCAGAUCAGAUAGGACUACCCGCUGAACUUAAGCAUAUCAAUAAGCGGAGGAAAAG